rnacentral:rRNA from 1 species
GUGGGGAAUCUUAGACAAUGGGCGCAAGCCUGAUCUAGCCAUGCCGCGUGAGCGAUGAAGGCCUUAGGGUUGUAAAGCUCUUUCAGGGGGGAAGAUAAUGACGGUACCCCCAGAAGAAGCCCCGGCUAACUCCGUGCCAGCAGCCGCGGUAAUACGGAGGGGGCUAGCGUUGUUCGGAAUUACUGGGCGUAAAGCGCACGUAGGCGGACCAGAAAGUCAGGGGUGAAAUCCCGGGGCUCAACGCCGGAACUGCCUUUGAAACUCCUGGUCUUGAGGUCGAGAGAGGUGGGUGGAAUUCCGAGUGUAGAGGUGAAAUUCGUAGAUAUUCGGAGGAACACCAGUGGCGAAGGCGGCUCACUGGCUCGAUACUGACGCUGAGGUGCGAAAGCGUGGGGAGCAAACAGGAUUAGAAACCCCGGUAGUCC